rnacentral:lncRNA from 1 species
AUGUAUGUUAGGAGUCCCACAUCGAGUAUAUCAAAGUGCUUGAUGUGGUACUUAAGCCUUGAGGUUCUCCCACCUAUUGGACUAGUUUUUUGGGUUGGGCUCUCCUCAUGGGCUUAAGUCCUAACAAUUGGUGCUUUCAUUGAGAGUUGGACCACGGAAAGGGCUACCUAUAGGCUGGAUUAAGGUGUUCCACCGAAUACUGAUAGGUGAGUGAAGCCGCCAAAAAGGAAAGGGCUACCAUCGGGUCAGUGUCGAUAGAGUGAAAGCCGCCGUGAACGUCGGCUCUUAAAGAGCGUGGCAAUGUUAGGAGUCCCACAUCGAGUAUAUCAAAGUGCUUGAUGUGGUACUUAAGCCUUGAGGUUCUCCCACCUAUUGGACUAGUU